GCGGGAGGGCGAACGGGCGCUCGCUGGGACCGCCGGUGACCCGGGAUCUGGGCCACACGGGGAGAUGGGAAGUGCUCCAGCCACACUGCCCGAGUUGCAGAGGGCAAAGGCAGGGCCUGGGAAACUGAAGAAUCACCUGCUGGAGAAGUUUGGGUUCAAGGCCCUCUAAAGCACCUGAAGGUGCACAAGCCCAUGGCACCUGAUGAGAUGUAUCCACAGGUCCUGAAGGAACUGGUGGAUGAAGUGGCUAAGCCACUAUCCAUCAUACUUGAGAAGUUGUGGCAUUCUGGUGCAACUUCCACUGACAGUAAAAGGGGAAACAUAACCCCCAUUUGAAAAAGGGAAAAAAGAAAGAUCCAGAGUACUACAGGAUGGUCAGUCUUAUCUCUGUGCCUGGCAAGAUCAUGGAGCAAGUCCUUCUGGAAACUCUGAUCCAGUUUCUGACAGUGGCAGGCAGCACUGCAUGGAGAGAUGGGCAAGAAAAAGACAAAAGCAGUGUUCGUUCCCCUGUGAUCCUGCUUCCAGGAGCAUUUCCGUAACACACAUGGUACCACUGCUUUUUGUGCCCUGUGAAAAGGCUCUGUUUGGGAUGAGGCCCAAGCUCAGCUCCUGCACUGAUCAGACUUGGUUGCCAGGCUGGUGAGUGCCCCACUGCAGUCACAUCAACCCUCCUGCCUGCCAGCAGCUUGGACCACUCGCUAGGAGCCAGCAUGGAAGGGACUAGGAAGAGGAAAAGGGAAGCCACAGAGAUUGUUGGAGGGGCUGUGCCCAUCAUCCAUGGCAGAGGCCUUGCUGUAACCUCAUGGUGCCUGUGAUGGGGUUUCCUGGCUCUGAGUAUGCUCCCAUCAGUCAGCCACACACUGAUCCUAGUCCUACACCAGGAUCCCAGUCACAAGCUCCUACCAGGCGUGGCUCAAGAGAACUUCAGUUCAAGGCAGCUGCAGGUCUAGCAAAGGAGACCUUUUGAUUUACCAGGCUCCUGGGCUCAGCUGUCAGCAGAGUAGUCAAGCAGCUCAAGAUGAAGGAAAGGCAGUUUUGUGGCACAAACCUCAAAUCCUGCAACAGGACAAUCCUCAGUAACGCAGGAACCCUUCACUUCUUCUCUUUGAGGCUAGAGAGCAGCAUGGCAGAAGCAAAGCUGUCCUGAUUAUACCAACAGACUGGAAACACAUGUGCCCUAGCACAAUGCUCCUUCUUCCCACAUGCCACUACCCUGUCCUCUUUAUUUUUAUCCCUUCCAGCUGCAUCCCAGCAUGCAUGCUCAUACCAAAAAUGCCCAACCAGAGUAAAAACCAACAGCCCUUAGCUUCUGGUGCCUGUAAUUCAGCAAUGGCCUGAGAAACUUGGUCCCAGCUGCUGCAGAACCCCCCAGGAAGAAGCACAUUCACUGCACAUCACCUGUACUACAUUUUGUUAAAGCUGAGCGACAUACUGCAUGUCCAAGUGAGGAACAGUCCACAGGAGGCAGGAUGGAAAUCCCCCUGGGGGAUUUCACAAGGGUGCUGUGAAACACACACAACUUCUUGACUUUUCUGAGAAUUCAGCUGCUCAUCAGUGGGGCUCCUGCCACCACCUGUCCCACAGGGUGAGCCAAGGCUCAGGACAAGGAACAGCCAGGCUGGGGCUGGCAGAAGCAGUAAGCUUGAGGCCCACAGGCAGAAAAAUAAACCUGCUGAAAAAAGAAUAAAUCAGUUUUGCAAUCAACAGAGGUGGAAAAGCAGGAAAUGGAGGGAACAAACCACACAAGGUGGAAUUUGGAAAGACUUAGCUCAAAUCCACAUAUCCACUGCCCAAAGGCCAAAAGGGUAUUGAUGCCAACCCCGAGUGGAGCUCCAACAACCUCUGUUCAUACAUUCAGACGCCCAGCUUCUGUGUUUGGCACAACCAUUUAAUAGCAGAAUUGAAAACUCAGUAUGUUCCAUUUUAGUCUUAUGUGGAAAAUCAGUGCAGGUGAUAAUCUAAUUGUACAACAACAUGUUAAAAAAAUUUAUUUUACAUUAUAUACAUUAGGGAACAUAUUUCAAAGCAUUACCAAUCACAACAAUAACGCAGGCCAUAAAUCACUUUUAAUUUAGUUUGGUUUUAGUGUAUAUUAUCACAAUAAAAUAUAAAGAACAUAUACAAAAAAAGGAGUCAAAUGUGUGCAUUUUGCUUAAAACUUGGCAUUUACACACUCCAUUGGAAAAUAGCAAUCAAAAAUACUUCUGAUCAAAACUAAGUUCCCGUGAUGCGUAGUAACCAUUGUAUUGUUUCAAUGAGGUAGUAACUAAAUUUUGGCCAUGUGUUAACAUCCUAAAAUCAAGAAAAGUGUGAAAAUGGUUGUAAGGCCAAAAAAAAAGUCAAAAUGGCAACAUCUCUGAGCCAUUUCCACAAUGUGGAAUGUUGCUCCUUUUCAUUGUGAUAUGAAACUAUGUAGUAAGACAAACAGUAAUAACUACUUUUUAUCAUUGUAUACACUAAUAAUUCAAACACCUAUUGCAGAAUUACAGCCAGGUACCACUAGUCUGGGACUGACACCCAUCCAUAAGGUAUUGUUUUCAAGCAUAGAGAAGUAAUCAUAAGGAAAGUUUUAAUUAAAUAUAAAAAAUACAGGUGUUUAACUGGUUUGUUUCACAAAGAAAUCUACCCAA